rnacentral:tRNA from 1 species
GAGGGUAUAGCUCAGUGGUAGAGCGCAUGCUUAGCAUGCACGAGGUCCUGGGUUCAAUCCCCAGUGCCUCCU